CAAAUCAGGUAGGAUUACCCGCUGAACUUAAGCAUAUCAAUAA
rnacentral:rRNA from 1 species